AACACAUCUCAAAUGUCGCUUGAGCUGCAUGCCAGUGAUGUGAACUGAAGCAAGUACAAGAGCUGUGCCUUUCGACUUCAAAAGCUAAAGAUGGAGCAAUUGGACAAGACAACACAGCCACUUCUGGAAGGUAAGUCUAUGAUAGUACAUAUGAUAGAAGAUGGUUAGAUAAAGCCAAAGAUUGUGGCUAGACUGGCUAUGCAUGGUUUCCCUAGAAGUGAAUAGUUAGUUAGAUGGCUGGCAUGGAGUGGCAGUAAGAAAUGUAGUAACAAAAAUAGUAAUAAACACUUAGGGGGGCACUGUGGCGCAACCAGUAGCCCCGACCACUUUCGGGCUUGAUGCCCAUGGAGGACACAGGUUCGAUUCCGGCCUAAUGUCAUUUCUCCUGUCCACUCCCCGCCUCUUCUCCCACUCAUUUCCUGUCCCACUCUUCACUAAGACUAUCGAUAAAAGCCCAAAAAUAAAUCUAAAAAAAAAAAAAAAAAACUUAAAGCUGUGUAAGGGAUAAUGUACAGUGAGGUGGUCAUUAUCGCGGCAUAGCCGAUAUGCUACUACACUUUUCCUUGAAUCUCAGCAAACUGGUGGUUGUCACUGGAGGGUUCUAACACCACUACAUUUGUCAUUUGUACAAGUGACUCAUUACAUUGACUUGCAGCUUACUCAGUGCUCUUAUGUAUCCAUAGUUUCAGGGUCAUCAUAAAUAUUGCACAUUAACUUAUACCACUUUGUUUGCAGCUGCACAGGCCAUUGCCUUGUUGGAGGCGCUCCCAAAAAUGUUCCCUUACCCAACCGCCCCUCCAAGAAGAGUCGGCAAGUGAGGCACUGUACCAUGUUCUUGAGCCAUCUGAGGACCCCAAUGUCUUCUUGCGUAACUGAUGACCUUGCCAAGGGACAUGCUUCUGGAAUCCCUCAUGAUACUGAUGGGAUGCUACUAUGUGUUCCAGUUAACAUAUUCCAAGUGUAUUGCUAGGCUAUUGUCCAUAAUACAAACAGAGGUACUCAAAGAUUUUAUUCACGAGAGUGACAAGACGACAACAUAUAAAAAGGUGCUUGCUGACUGUCAAGCAUUCAUCCAAACCUA